rnacentral:rRNA from 1 species
GAUGAACGCUGGCGGUAUGCUUAACACAUGCAAGUCGAACGAAAGCUUUAUGCUUUAGUGGCGAACGGGUGCGUAAUACGUGAGAAUCUACCCUUAGGAGGAGAAUAACUUCUGGAAACGGUUGCUAAGUCUCCAUAUGCCGAGAGGUGAAAUAGUUUACACUGCCUAGGGAUGAGCUCACGCCUGAUUAGCUUGUUGGUAAGGUAAUGGCUUACCAAGGCCACGAUCAGUAGCUGGUUUGAGAGAACGAUCAGCCACACUGGGACUGAGACACGGCCCAGACUCCUCCGGGAGGCAGCAGUGAGGAAUUUUCCGCAAUGGGCGAAAGCCUGACGGAGCAAUACCGCGUGAGGGAUGAAGGAUUUUGGUCUGUAAACCUCUUUUCUCAAGAAAGAAGUUCUGACGGUACUUGAGGAAUAAGCAUCGGCUAACUCCGUG